GCAAGACGGACCGAAGCGAAAGCAUUUGCCAAGAAUGUUUUCUCUGAUCAAGAACGAAAGUUAGAGGUUCGAAGGCGAUCAGAUACCGCCCUAGUUCUAACCAUAAACAAUGCCAGCCAGCAAUCCGCCGAAGUUCCUCCGAUGACUCGGCGGGCGGCUUCCGGGAAACCAAAGCUUUUGGGUUCCGGGGGAAGUAUGGUUGCAAAGCUGAAACUUAAAGGAAUUGACGGAAGGGCACCACCAGGAGUGGAGCCUGCGGCUUAAUUUGACUCAACACGGGAAACCUCACCAGGCCCGGACACCGGGAGGAUUGACAGAUUGAGAGCUCUUUCUUGAUUCGGUGGGUGGUGGUGCAUGGCCGUUCUUAGUUGGUGGAGCGAUUUGUCUGGUUAAUUCCGAUAACGAACGAGACUCUAGCCUGCUAACUAGUCGCUUCCGGCAUCCUUUUGCGCUGCCGGCGACUUCUGAUCUUCUUAGAGGGACAGGCGGCUUCUAGCCGCACGAGAUUGA
rnacentral:rRNA from 1 species